rnacentral:tRNA from 1 species
GCCGGGGUCGCAUAGCCUGGCCAUUGCGGAGGGUUGCUAACCCUCUGUUCGAAAGGACACAUGGGUUCGAAUCCCAUCCCCGGCG